ensembl:lncRNA
ACAUCAAACAUGGACCUGUGAGCUCACAGAGGCUGCUGGGAGAUUGAAGAGCCAGACAAUGGGCAUGACAGGCCUCAUCUGGACACGCCUUGACCCAAAGGCCCUUGGGAGACUGUCGGAACAUCCAUUUACACACCAAAAGAGUUGGGAGACAAAUAUCCAAAGUCAUUCAGCUAACAACUUUUUAGCAAAGAAAUCAUGAUUGACACUGCUGCGAUGCUCCAGCAGAAACGGGGGCAGAUGACUUC